rnacentral:rRNA from 1 species
UACGUAGGGCGCAAGCGUUGUUCGGAGUUACUGGGCGUAAAGGGUGUGUAGGCGGUCUUCUAAGUUUGGUGUGAAAUCUCCCGGCUCAACUGGGAGGGUGCGCCGAAAACUGGAAGGCUAGAGUACUGGAUGGGAGAGUGGAAUUCCUGGUGUAGCGGUGAAAUGCGUAGAUAUCAGGAGGAACACCUGUGGUGUAGACGGCUCUCUGGACAGUAACUGACGCUGAGACACGAAAGCGUGGGUAGCAAACAGG